GGGACGAACGCUGGCGGCGUGCCUAACACAUGCAAGUCGAACGAGGUCCAUCCAGUGGCAACACUGGUGAAGACCUAGUGGCGAACGGGUGAGUAACACGUGAGGAACCUGCCCCGAAGACCGGGAUAACCCUCCGAAAGGAGAGCUAAUACCGGAUACCCCCAACUGAUCGCAUGGUCGGAUGAGGAAAUGGAUUCCGCUUCGGGAGGGCCUCGCGGCCUAUCAGCUAGUUGGUGAGGUAAUGGCUCACCAAGGCAUCGACGGGUAGCUGGUCUGAGAGGACGAUCAGCCACACUGGGACUGAGACACGGCCCAGACUCCUACGGGAGGCAACAGUGGGGAAUCUUGCGCAAUGGGCGAAAGCCUGACGCAGCAACGCCGCGUGGGGGAUGAAGGCUCUCGGGUUGUAAACCCCUUUCAGUAGGGACGAAAAUGACGGUACCUACAGAAGAAGCCCGGCCAACUACGUGCCAGCAGCCGC
rnacentral:rRNA from 1 species